rnacentral:rRNA from 1 species
GACGAACGCUGGCGGCGUGCUUAACACAUGCAAGUCGAACGGAAAGGCCCUGCUUUUGUGGGGUGCUCGAGUGGCGAACGGGUGAGUAACACGUGAGUAACCUGCCCUUAACUUUGGGAUAACUUCAGGAAACUGGGGCGAAUACCGGAUAGGAUCUCCUGCUGCAUGUUGGGGGUUGGAAAGUUUCGGCGGUUGGGGAUGGACUCGCGGCUUAUCAGCUGGUUGGGGAGGUAGUGGCUUACCAAGGCUUUGACGGGUAGCCGGCCUGAGAGGGGGAACGGCCACAUUGGGACUGAGAUACGGCGCAGACUCCUACGGGAGGCAGCAGUGGGGAAUAUUGCACAAUGGGCGGAAGCCUGAUGCAGAAACGCCGCGUGCGGGAUGACGGGCUUCGGGUUGUAAACCGCUUUCGACUGUGACGAAGCGGGAGUGACGGUAAUGGGUAAAGAAGCACCGGCUAACUACGUG